UACAGGGGGUGCAAACGUUGCUCGGAAUCAUUGGGCGUAAAGCGCACGUAGGCGGUUCGUUAUGUCGGAUGUGAAAGCCCUUGGCUUAACCGAGGAAGUGCAUCCGAAACUGGCGAGCUAGAGUACGAAAGAGGAUCGCGGAAUUCCCGGUGUAGAGGUGAAAUUCGUAGAUAUCGGGAGGAACACCGGUGGCGAAGGCGGCGAUCUGGGUCGAUACUGACGCUGAGGUGCGAAAGCGUGGG
rnacentral:rRNA from 1 species